CGGGCGCCGGGCACGCGGGCCAGGCCUUCCCCACAACUGGUGGGGUUGAGAUUUCCUUUCCGGCUCAGCGGGGAGAAAAGAGAUGGUGGGGUGCUUAACAGAGAAGGUUAGACACCGGCGGGAACCAGAGGAGCCCAAGCGCGGCGCUGGGCCUCGGGGCUGCAGGAGUCCUAGGGUCUGCAGGAGUCCUCGGCUGCGGUAUGGAGGUCGCCGGGGAAGAAGGACGGUUCAGUUGCUAGGCAACCCGGCCUGGACCCGCCUCUCGCUCGCGUUGCUGGGAGACUACAAGGCCGGGGGGAGGGCGGCGAGAGGGCCCUACGUGCUGACGCUAAUUGUAUAUGAGCGCGAGCGGCGGGCUCUUGGGUCUUUUUUAGCGCCAUCUGCUCGCGGCGCCGCCUCCUGCUCCUCCCGCCGCCGCUGCCGCCCUGAGUCACUGCCUGCGCAGCUCCGGCCGCCUGGCUCCCCAUACUAGCCGCCGAUAUUUGGAGUUCUUACAACAUGGCAGACAUUGACAACAAAGAACAGUCUGAACUUGAUCAAGAUUUGGAUGAUGUUGAAGAAGUAGAAGAAGAGGAAACUGGUGAAGAAACAAAAAUCAAAGCACGUCAGCUAACUGUUCAGAUGAUGCAAAAUCCUCAGAUUCUUGCAGCCCUUCAAGAAAGACUUGAUGGUCUGGUAGAAACACCAACAGGAUACAUUGAAAGCCUGCCUAGGGUAGUUAAAAGACGAGUGAAUGCUCUCAAAAACCUGCAAGUUAAAUGUGCACAGAUAGAAGCCAAAUUCUAUGAGGAAGUUCACGAUCUUGAAAGGAAGUAUGCUGUUCUCUAUCAGCCUCUGUUUGAUAAGCGAUUUGAGAUUAUUAAUGCAAUUUAUGAACCUACGGAAGAAGAAUGUGAAUGGAAACCAGAUGAAGAAGAUGAGAUUUCGGAGGAGUUGAAAGAAAAGGCCAAGAUCGAAGAUGAGAAAAAGGAUGAAGAAAAAGAAGACCCCAAAGGAAUUCCUGAAUUUUGGUUAACUGUUUUUAAGAAUGUUGACUUGCUCAGUGAUAUGGUUCAGGAACAUGAUGAACCUAUUCUGAAACACUUGAAAGAUAUUAAAGUGAAGUUCUCAGAUGCUGGCCAGCCUAUGAGUUUUGUCUUAGAAUUUCACUUUGAACCCAAUGAAUAUUUUACAAAUGAAGUGCUGACAAAGACAUAUAGGAUGAGGUCAGAACCAGAUGAUUCUGAUCCCUUUUCUUUUGAUGGACCAGAAAUUAUGGGUUGUACAGGGUGCCAGAUAGAUUGGAAAAAAGGAAAGAAUGUCACUUUGAAAACCAUUAAGAAGAAGCAGAAACACAAGGGACGUGGGACAGUUCGUACUGUGACUAAAACAGUUUCCAAUGACUCUUUCUUUAAUUUUUUUGCCCCUCCUGAAGUUCCUGAGAGUGGAGAUCUGGAUGAUGAUGCUGAAGCUAUCCUUGCUGCAGACUUCGAAAUUGGUCACUUUUUACGUGAGCGUAUAAUCCCGAGAUCAGUGUUAUAUUUUACUGGAGAAGCUAUUGAAGAUGAUGAUGAUGAUUAUGAUGAAGAAGGUGAAGAAGCGGAUGAGGGUUAUCAGCUCUUUGAAGAAGUCAAAAGCUGCAGUAAACUUUUCCAACGUUGGCUGCAGUAACUAUUUUCAAUAAAAGCUGUCUGGAUGUCUCAAGUUGUGUUGGGAAAUUUUUCAUAUUAGAAGCUUUCAGAUUAAAUUGUAUUAUCGUCAAACUCUGUAAUCAUGAAAAUCUGUUGACCCAUAGAGUAACUUGUAUUAAAUUUUCCCUACAUUAUGAGCCAGUUUACCUACUAUGUACAUACUUCAUGGAUGCAUUUUGAACUUUAAUAUAGGAAGGGGAAGAAGAAGGAGAUGAGGAAAAUGAUCCAGACUAUGACCCAAAGAAGGAUCAAAACCCAGCAGAGUGCAAGCAGCAGUGAAGCAGGAUGUAUGUGGCCUUGAGGAUAACCUGCACUGGUCUACCUUCUGCUUCCCUGGAAAGGAUGAAUUUACAUCAUUUGACAAGCCUAUUUUCAAGUUAUUUGUUGUUUGUUUGCUUGUUUCUGUUUUUGCAGCCUAAAAUAAAAAUUUCAAAUACAAUUUUAGUUCUUACAAGAUAAUGUCUUAAUUUUGUACCAAUUCAGGUAGAAGCAGAGACCUUCCUUGAAUUAAGGGUUAUACUCAGUUUUUACCACAUUAUUGAAGAAAAGGGUAACAGCUUUGGCAUGAGAUACUAUACUAAUAAGCAAGUGUAAAAAGAGAAAAAAGAAAAUCUUAAGUGAUUUGAUGCUUUUUUUUUUUUUAAAUUCAUUUUCUUUGGGUUAGAGCUAGAGAGAAGGCCCCAAGCUUCUGUGGUUUCUUCUAAUUCUUACUGCUUAAAGUAUGAAUAUGUCACUUAAACCCAUGCUUCUGUUUACUGUGUAUUAAAAUGGGUAGUACUGUUUACCUAACUACCUCAUGGAUGUGUUAAGGCAUAUUGAGUUAAAUCUCAUAUAAUGUUUCUCAAUCUUGUUAAAAGCUCAAAAUUUUGGGCCUAUUUGUAACGCCAGUGUGACACUCAGCAUUUUGUUCACACCACGCUUUGAUAACUAAACUGGAAAACAAAGGUUAAGUACCUCUGUUCUGGAUCUGGGCAGUCAGCACUCUUUUAGAUCUUUGCGUGGCUCCUAUUUUUAUAGAAGUGGAUGGAUGCACUAUUUCACAAGGUCCAAGAUUUUUUUUCAGAUAUUUUUGAUGACUGUAUUGUAGUAAAUACUACAGGGAUAGCACUAUAGUAUUGUCAUGAGACUUAAAGUGGAAAUAAGACUAUUUUUGACAAAAGAUGCCAUUAAAUUUCAGACUGUAGAGCCACAUUUAUAAUACCUCAGGCUAAUUACUGUUAAUUUGGGGGUUGAACUUUUGAUGACAGCGAGGGUGGAUUAUUGGAUUGUCAUUAGAGGAAGGUCUAGAUUUCCUGCUCUUAAUAAAAUUACAUUGAAUUCAUUUUUAGAGGUAGUGAAAACUUCCUUUUUGAGAUGUUAGUGUUAAGGUCUUGGAAUGUGAACACAUUAUUUGUAGUGCUAUCCAUUCCUCUCCUGAGAUUUUAACUCACUACUGGAAAUCCUUAACCAAUUGUAAUAGCUUUUUUCUCUUUAUUUUCAAAAUUAUUUCCUUUGCUUUGAUUAGACACUAUGUGCUUUUUGUUUUUUUUUUUUUUUAACCUAUAGUUCAUCGAAAUGCAGCUUUUUCUGAACUUUAAAGAUAGAAUCCCAUUUUUAAUGAACUGAAGUAGCAAAAUCAUCUUUUUCAUUCUUUAGGAAAUAGCUAUUGCCAAAGUGAAGGUGUAGAUAAUACCUAGUCUUGUUACAUAAUGGGGAUGUGGUUUGCAGAAGAAUUUUCUUAAGGGAUGUCAGUGUUUAUGCCAUUUUUCCAGUUCCAAAAUGAUUCCAUUCCAUUCUAGAAAUUUGAAGUAUGUAACUUGAAAUCCUUAAUAAAAUUUGGAUUUAAUUUUAUAAAAUGUA